ensembl:lncRNA
GUUAAACAUUAUGUGUGUGUGUGGGUGUCACUUAAAAAACCAGGCCCACACCCACAUCACCUUCACCUCAAACCUGGUCGUCACGCACACUUUGUUUCAGCCACCUGAGUGGAAAAAUCCUGUGGGUUUUCUACAGACUUAUACAGAGGUUCAGCAUUUUCCAAGUCAAGCAGAAUGCGGACUGUUGUGUGAGACAUUGUUAUAUCCCUUGCAUCUCUUUAGCCUUUUAUUGAAACAGAGAUUUUCUCCCUCUCUCUCUACGUGCUGCAGCUGAACAGCAUUCUGGUGAGUAGUGGAAGUGCACAUCUAGCCCCCGACAAAGCGCUUCUUGCCAUUUGGGCUCUCUGUUGUAUGGUUGCUAGGAUUAGUCGUGUUUAGUUUCACUAGAAAUCUGUCCUUUGAAACAGACUUGUGGCAAACCUGUAAAACCUCAGUAUGCUUUCUUUUGUGUUUGAAUAAAUCUGGCUGCAAGCUUGGUGGGAGUUUUCUGACAGUAUUUAAACACUUUCUCUCCUCUUUUGUGGCUAGCCAGGGAGCCUAGGUUUUAUAGUUUUGCUUUGUUUUGUUGUUUUUUUGUUUUUUUAAACCUACAGCUCGGUGUUUCUCUUCUUUCUAGAAAAAGUGGAUAGGUGUGGGUGGGGGUCUGUUUGUUGGUUUGGCCUUGAAGACCCAGAAGGCUAUUUUCUUGCUUUCCUUUUCCUAACCAAUGCAAUAUAACCUACAGAACUGUACUUCAAAUAAAUGAGCAUCAGGAAAGUGUUUACUGGGGUUAAAGGUCAGGGGAGCCAACAGCUUAUUCCCCAUAGAUUUCUAUAAAACAGUAAGUCUUUUAGAAACCAGAGGAGUCGCCCAAUGCUGUCAAUUAAAAAAAAAAAAAAAAAUCAGAUUUCACUGGCUUUACUUUUCCCAAAGUAAAGCCACAUCCCCCUUUUAUACCAUCUAUGGUAUGCACAAAAGCACUAUUGUUCUGCAUAUUUUUAAGGCAAUGACUCUGCGUCACCAUCCUUAACAGAAGCCUGUUCAAAUUCCUCCUAUUUCCAGCCAUUUCUGCCCAUCCUGAUGAUUUCCCUUUGGGAAUAAGAGCAAAUACAAAUUUCAGGAAAAACACAACUAAACAGAUUAAAAUAUUUACCUCUGAGUCAUUUCACUUGGAGUUCUUUUUAGCUGGUUCAAACCUCUCUGGUCUUGGACAGACACUUUC